rnacentral:misc_RNA from 1 species
GCAAACUUGGUCAUUUAGAGGAAGUAAAAGUCGUAACAAGGUUUCCGUAGGUGAACCUGCGGAAGGAUCAUUAAUAUUUGGAUCGGGUUUAACAUUGUUUUCGUCCUCUUUGUAUUCAAUGGUAAACCUUAUCCAAAUAUAGAGUUAUAUUUACUCUUUUUUUUUUAAAAAAAAGGAGCAAGAUGAUAUAUAUUUAAAACCCAACCCAUAAAAUAUGUAUAUUUUGAAUGAUAAAAUUAAAGAUCACUUUCAACAACGGAUCUCUUGGCUCUCGCAUCGAUGAAGAACGCAGC